UUCUAAGGAAGGAAGAAAAAGGGGGGAGCAGAGUAGAGCAGAGGGCUAGGGCCACCUUCUGGUUUGGGGAGAAGUCUCUGCCUUCUCCUUGGAGAGGCCUUCAGAGUCAGUAAUUCAUGAAGACUGCAUUUAAUUAAAGCACUGGGAAAGAGCUGCAAACCUGAAACCUGAGGAGUAAUGCUCAUUACAAGGAAA
rnacentral:lncRNA from 1 species